GCCAGCAGCCAGAUCACCCUGCAACUCACCACUGGCUGCCCCACUGGAACUCAGCAGGUGUGAGCCUGGUCAGUACCUGGAUGGGAGACCUCCUGGGAAAAACUAAGGUUGCUGCUGGAA
rnacentral:rRNA from 1 species